UGAGGCUUAUUGGAUGUUAAAUUAUAGGAGCCUCUAUCCCAUUGACUGAAUUUUUUUUUUGUGGGGGGAGUAAUCUUCUCACCCACAUGAAAGUAAGGAAUUCUUCCAUAAGCAUUUAAGUACUACCAUUAAGGGAACUCAAAGAGGUCAUUUACAAAAUAGCUCAUUUACCCUUCCCACCAAGAAUUUGUUGCUUUCAUUGAAGGGAGUGGUUUUUUGAGAAUUGGCUGGCCCGGCAUUAAGCUUAAAUCAUUUGCUUUCCAUCUUACUCCUCCUUUCCCUUGACCUUAUCUGGGAUUUUACUUUAUUAAUUAACUUGAAAAGUGCUUUCUAUAGGUAGCAUGAGUUUUUGGUUAAAAAACAGUUCGAAAAACACCCCCCAAAAUGUAGUGAGAAGAAAAUCAUUUGAAUUCCUAUCCCCCCCAGGCUUCUAGUUCUCUUUUCUAAAGACAGACUCUCAAACAAGCUUUUUCUGUUUUCCUAAGCUAUGUCUAAUUAAGUAUGUGUUACUAUAUAGCUGCCUCUUUUUAUACACACGGCACCAUAUUAUUCUGUGUCGUACCAUUUCUUUUCCACUUAAUAUUUCUUAAAGAUGAUUGCCUAUCUGUGUAGAGAUUUACUUCAUUCCAUUUACAUUUUACAAUAUUGAUAAAAUGUAUUCUAUUUUAUCUCUUUCUAGUGCCUGACGUGUGGCCAGAUCCCAGAAGAUGAGUUUCUCUAAGAAGAUCACAUGAACCAUCCCGAAAGGCCUGUUGCUUCGAAGCUCAGGAAUCCAGGGACCCCUUCCUAUUAUGCGAACUUCCUGGGCAGAGCUUCAGGCUACUCAGCGGAAUGUCUAUGGUUCUGUAGCUUCAAGAGGAGCCAGGAAGAUGAGCUUCCAAGCCAAGGGAAACACUGCUUCAGACUCAAGACCACGAUUUGGCAGAGACCACGGGGCCUGCUGAAUUUAGGAGAGGACUCAUACCCCUUCCUUACUCAAACCACUCUUUCCCACUAAAAGAGGAUGGAGGUGACCUAAGAAAUCUGCUUUAUUCACCAGCACACAGCAGUUGCUUGGGUGAAAUGGACUCCGGUCCCAUUUUGGUACAAUAGGAAAGGCAAGUGCCUCCCUCUCUAUCUGGGAAGAAAGGAGAAGGAAGCCAGAGUGGAAAUCAGACAUCUGAAGUCUCAGCAGCAGUCUUGGUCUGUGCUUAGACAAAUAAUCUCAAGGCGACCCAAAUCCCCCUGUUCGUUCUGAAAACAGACAGUGCCAGAGUGAAACAGAAUUAAAUUGUUUCUCUUUCAUGGCAGCUGAAGUGUAAAAACCAUUCUAUUCCGACCUUGUGGUCAGAAUAUCCUGACACCUCAUAAAUUAUCUUAAGGGGUCAGGGCUCAGGGAGGUUUGGGAAGGCUGCGAGUCCACACUGCAGCCAACGGUCUGCGCCGCACGGCAGCAGCGGGAGCGCCUCCUUCCUGGUCUUUCCGAUAGGCAGGCACCAAUGUGUAGGAUGUGGAGGAAUGUAGUGUCCUCAGAGCCAGUUUUUAUGAAUUGGGACAAGCAUUUGCCCUCCUUUUAUGCUUGUAGGAUUUGUAUGGCCACAGCAACUACCUUCAUGAAGGUUUUUAAGUAAGUGAGAAAAGCACAGUGAUAGCUUCCAUGUCGGACAGAAAUUCUAGGGUGGAUUUGUCUUAGCAGAAAAAAAGACAGGGGAGGGAUGGAGACAAUAGAGACAUAUACUUACACAAUACGAAGAACUAGAGAGAAAAAAAUGAAUCAAGGAGAAGAGAAAGGAAGGUGGGAAGGGGAAACGUGGGUGACAGAAAAGUUUUCUUGAUUCAGAUAUACACCCCCAAGCACACGCGCGCACACACACACUGUUUCUAACACACACUCUCUCUCUCACAACACUCUCUCUCACACACACACACUGUUUCUAACACACACUCUGUCUCACAACACAUUCUCUCACACACACACACACUGUUUCUAACACACACACUCUCUCUCACAACACUCUGUCUCACACACACACUGUUUCUAACACACACUCUGUCUCACAACACAUUCUCUCUCACACACACACACACUGUUUCUAACACACACACUCUUUCACAACACAUUCUCUCACACACACACACAUACACACACACACACACACACACGCCUCCUCAGCAGAGUGGAACUCUUGGACUUCUCUGCCUCCUGGUGAGUUUCUUUUAGCCCCCACAUUCAUCUGUGCCUUACACACAGUAGGUGCUCCAUAAAUGUUUGCCUAUUGGUAACAUCCACAGAUUGGUCCCCAGAGAGGGAAACAGAUUUAUUUUGGGAAAUUCCAAGUAUGUAAAGCAAAGUCAUUUGGAGCAAACAGUAUUCUGAUAGCUUGAACCACCAUAAGGUUGAAAGAAUCUGGGUAUUUGUGGGUGUGUCUGGACAUAUUGUGUGUGGGAGUGUGAGUGGGUGGUCUGGUUGGGUGGGUAAUAAGUGACAGGAGGGCCCUUGAAAAUAUAAAGGGCUCCAUAACUACUGUAAAAAUAAAACUGGGAAUAGCAUGCCCAGACCUCCAGUCAUGCGGUGAC
rnacentral:lncRNA from 1 species